rnacentral:rRNA from 1 species
GAGUUUGAUCCUGGCUCAGAGCGAACGUUAGCGGCGGGCCUAACACAUGCAAGUCGAGCGAGAAAGGGGCUUCGGCCCUGAGUAAAGCGGCGGACGGGUGAGUAACACGUAGGUAAUCUUCCCUUGAGCGGGGGACAACGUUUCGAAAGGAACGCUAAUACCGCAUAAGUUCUUAGAGACUCCGGUCUCUAGGAGGAAAGCUAGGUAGCAAUAUCCGGCACUCGAGGAGGAGCCUGCGUCGCAUCAGCUAGUUGGUGGGGUAACGGCCUACCAAGGCGAAGACGCGUAGCUGGUCUGAGAGGAUGAUCAGCCACACUGGGACUGAGACACGGCCCAGACUCCUACGGGAGGCAGCAGUGGGGGAAUUUUGGACAAUGGGCGCAAGCCUGAUCCAGCCAUGCCGCGUGAGUGAAGAAGGCC